AAAAAAAAAAAUCAGCAGGCUGCAACAAAAUAUGAAGCAUCAAUCAUUCAAUUACAAAUUAAAACUGAUUCCAAAUUUAAAAAAAGCUGUAGAAACUCUGUAAUUUGGGUAAUCUCAGCAACUUCUAACUAAGCAUAGCUUUUUUCCCUUUAGAUGUUAAAACAAAUAAAAUAAACCAGACUGCAGCAACAAAAUAUAAAGCAUCAACCAUUCAAUACAAAUUAAAACUGAUCCCAAAUAAAUUAAAAAAAAAAAAAAA
rnacentral:misc_RNA from 1 species